CUCCGAUGUGAGACAGAUGAUGCCGAUAAGAGUCGCUCAGCGGCGUUGAUGGCAGUGUUGAUUAACGUCUGCAGUCUGCGGUUGCGGUUCGCGGCGUUACCUGGUACUGGAGGCUGCAAUUGGGGCCUUUUCUAUUUGAGUGUGGCUCAAGCUUAGUCAUCUAUAAGAUAUGGAAAGAGCUGCAAGUGCUCGCUGGCACUCGCAUUGGAAUUAUUCACG